rnacentral:misc_RNA from 1 species
UUCUUAUUUUGAGAAGGAGAAGGAAACCUAAAAGAUUUUUUUUUUAUUACACAUUCGAAAUUUAUUUGUCAAAUUCAGGACAAGAUAUGUUUCUCGACAUUUUCCCCUAAGAAUCGCCUUGAGGGGUGUUUAUAAAAUAAAAUUGUCAAUUUUACAAUCCUUCGGAGUGUAUGGUAAAAAUAGCGAAGAAUGAAUCCAAAGGACAUAACCAUCAGUUAACAUAGUGUAGAGGGAUCAGCUGGAGUGGUGGAGAGCUAGUCAAAAUGAAAUAACUCCACAAGAUACCAAGAGCAAGUUACUUUAUUCGGUUUUAAUUUAUUUAUAUAUUUUCCAGAGUGGCAAAAAGAAAAGUGAAAGAUUUUUUGUCUAAUAUCCUUGAGAUUUAUAUUAAAUCGCUUUCCCUGUUUUUAGUCUUGUGAUAGUCAAUUAGAAUAAUGAAAACUGGAAUUUGGGAUAAAGUGGGCCAAAUAAAAAGUGUCAGUUUUCUCAAGUUCCAUUCUAUAGUCAGAUAAGAAAAUAAAGAACGACAAGGGUGGAGUUUAUGUAUUAUUGCCUAAGGCCUCGACUUAUACUCAGUUAUGAGCCGGGAGGUGAAAUGGACAUGUGAAUAUUGCACCUAUGAGAAUUUUCCAAACGCGUCCAAGUGCACCAUGUGUCAGGGUCCAAAACCUUUGCUCUCAAAAAACAUAUAUCGGCUUAGAGCCGACGAAGAUUCCGGCUUUGUAAAACCCGAAACUUCGUCUUCAGUGCCUCGUAGUGUUAAUGCAGAUUUUUUACAUGAACAGUUAAAACCCCUGAGGAUAAGUGAUUGCAGUGAAAAUACCGCAAGUGCAACUUCUCGUGUUAGUACUGCCGUUAAAUGGUCGUGUAAAAUAUGUACUUACGAAAACUGGCCAAAAUCUAGGAAAUGUAUUAUGUGCGGAACAUCGGCAUCGGCAUCCAACACCUCCCCUACCUCCGGACAACUGCCACUGCAAAACCAGGCGUCUCCGAACAACACUUCAGUGAGACUCACUUCACCAUCUCCUGAAAAAGAUGCUACCAUUAAUGAGGAUAAUACCAUGAAAAGGUCUAAUUCAAGGCGGGAAGACAUUGGAGCUAGUCAAACUAGCAUGACGAAUAAUUAUGAGUUCGAUCGUCGAAGACGAGAGGCGGAUUGGACAUGGCUCAACGCUUGCCUGGGAGUCGUGGAAGGUGAUCCGAAUCCAGUCGCCAAAUUCCUCAGCACUGGGGGCGACCCGACUAGACAGCUAUUGCCCGCCGAAGUCUCCCUUUUGAACAGACCAUCGGCUUUCGAUAUCGGGCACACUUUGGUCCAUCUAGCUAUAAGGUUUCACAGGGAAGAGAUGCUAGCAAUGUUGGUCUCGUCAAUAGACGGAGGCGGUUCCGGAUUGAAAAGAGUCCCUUCUUACAUCGCUCCCGAGCUCGCUUCAGCGAUUCGUAGACACGCAGCUACCAUUUUCAACACGAAACAUUCACGGUCAAUCCCUUUUCCUUUUAUAACUGAAUUCACAACAUUUGUUUUGCCCGCAGAUAUAGAAGAUCUCCCUGCUUCAGUUCAAGAACAACUUUUCGAUGAACUCUUGGACAAAGAUGUACAACAACAGUUAGAAAGCGAACCGGCUGUAAUUAAUUGGUCUGUCGAAAUUACAGUUCAGUUAGGCUCAAGGCUCCACGCUCUUUGGAAUCGGUCUCAAGGUGAUUGCCUUUUGGAUUCUCUGAUGCAGGCGACCUGGGGAGUUUUCGACAGGGAUUCCCUGCUAAGAAGGGCUCUUGCUGACUCCCUCUGCCAUGGAGCACAUCUACUAUAUCCUCGUUGGUUGGAAUCGGAAGCCAAUCAAGCCCGUCAACUGGAUUUCACAUUGAGUGAUUCGCAAUGGGCUGAGGACUGGUCGGCAUUGGUGAAACGAGCGACGCAGCCUGGCGCGUCGCUCCAGCAACUUCACGUUUUCGCAUUGGCUCACGUUCUAAGAAGGCCAGUUCUCGUAUACGGAGUUAAGUUUGUUAAAAGCUUCAGGGGGGAGGCGCUUGAUUAUGCCGGUUUUGAAGGUGUUUACCUUCCAUUGCUUUGGGAACCGAGUUUUUGCAGUACGUCUCCAGUGGCUCUCGGCUAUACCCGUGGUCAUUUUUCCGCCCUCGUACCGAUGGAGUGUUACUCAACCCACACACAUUCUGAUCUCGGCUCGUCAGGAAUUGUCGAGGACAAUCGAGGAGAACAAGUCUGUUACUUACCCCUCGUCGACAGAGACAGAAAAAUCCUCCCAAUUCAUUUUCUCACAAAAUCAGAAACUGGAAGCGAAGAAAGAUUAUUAAGGAGGUGGUUAGAUGUCAAUAUCACAAACGGCGGUCUCCUUGUUGCUCAACAAAGGGUUCACGGUAGACCUUUGCUUGUUGCUCAAAUGCUUCAGGAGUGGCUUAAUCACUAUAAAAGUCUGGCUCAAAUGUCAGGAACGCCCUACAGUCGGACAAUCCCAACACAGGAUUUUUCGAGUGACGGUGACACGGAUGAUGAAUGACCUUAAUAUCUCACAGAAGAAGAGGACAAGGCUCUCUAAAAGAAGUAAUCAAAGUCAAAAUAAGUCACAAAUUGACAUGCUCAUAAUCUGAAGUAUCAAGAUCUUUAUUGUCGCUCCGCUGAGGUGGCCAUGGUCUUCUCCUCCUCCUUGUAUCCGCCUGGGAAUUAGAAGAACUUUUUAUGAAGUGUAUACAAGCCACACAUUUCACAACAAACACAAGAAAAAUUGUGGCAGUUGUAAACAGAAUUAUUUUCCAGUGAGCCUUCAGGAGAGUGUCCGGUUCAUGAAAAUCAUCUGAAAAUAAAUUUACAACCAUAAUUUGAUGUUA